AAAGGGAGACCUAAUUCGGGUAUAAGACGAAAAAAUAGUAGUCGAAACCAAGAAUCAAUCCCAAAAGGUCGGAACGAGGUAUGUGGCUUUCAAACUAGGUUCUGGGUUCAUAAAAGACCUGAAUCAGGAACAAGGGCUAUUAGCUCAGGUGGUUAGAGCGCACCCCUGAUAAGGGUGAGGUCCCUGGUUCGAGUCCAGGAUGGCCCACCUGUACAGGUGGCAAAAACAAGAGAAGCGAGGAAUCAGCACCUUAUCUUACUGACAUAGUAAGAGAGAAUGCUGGCUCUGAGUUCAGAGUCCAGAGGAACCUUGAAAACUGCAUAGAGCUAGGUGAAAAAGCCAAAAAAGAAGACCGCAAG
rnacentral:tRNA from 1 species